ACGGAAGGCAGCAGUGGGGAAUAUUGCACAAUGGGGGAAACCCUGAUGCAGCAACGCCGCGUGAGUGAAGAAGUAUUUCGGUAUGUGAAGCUCUAUCAGCAGGAAAGAAAAUGACGGUACCUGACUAAGAAGCCCCGGCUAACUACGUGCCAGCAGCCGCGGUAAUACGUAGGGGGCAAGCGUUAUCCGGAUUUACUGGGUGUAAAGGGAGCGUAGACGGCUUUGCAAGUCUGAAGUGAAAGCCCGGGGCUCAACCCCGGAACUGCUUUGGAAACUGUAGAGCUAGAGUGCAGGAGAGGUAAGUGGAAUUCCUAGUGUAGCGGUGAAAUGCGUAGAUAUUAGGAGGAACACCAGUGGCGAAGGCGGCUUACUGGACUGUAACUGACGUUGAGGCUCGAAGGCGUGGGGAGCAAACAGGAUUAGAUACCCUGGUA
rnacentral:rRNA from 1 species